rnacentral:rRNA from 1 species
GACGAACGCUGGCGGCGUGCUUAACACAUGCAAGUCGAACGGAAAGGCCCUGCUUUUGUGGGGUGCUCGAGCGGCGAACGGGUGAGUAACACGUGAGUAACCUGCCCUUGACUUUGGGAUAACUUCAGGAAACUGGGGCUAAUACCGGAUAGGAGCUCCUGCUGCAUGGUGGGGGUUGGAAAGUUUCGGCGGUUGGGGAUGGACUCGCGGCUUAUCAGCUUGUUGGUGGGGUAGUGGCUUACCAAGGCUUUGACGGGUAGCCGGCCUGAGAGGGUGACCGGCCACAUUGGGACUGAGAUACGGCCCAGACUCCUACGGGAGGCAGCAGUGGGGAAUAUUGCACAAUGGGCGGAAGCCUGAUGCAGCAACGCCGCGUGCGGGAUGACGGCCUUCGGGUUGUAAACCGCUUUCGCCUGUGACGAAGCGUGAGUGACGGUAAUGGGUAAAGAAGCACCGGCUAACUGCGUG